rnacentral:rRNA from 1 species
UACGUAGGUGGCAAGCGUUUGUCCGGAAUUAUUGGGCGUAAAGCGCGCGCAGGUGGUUCCUUAAGUCUGAUGUGAAAGCCCACGGCUCAACCGUGGAGGGUCAUUGGAAACUGGGGAACUUGAGUGCAGAAGAGGAAAGUGGAAUUCCAAGUGUAGCGGUGAAAUGCGUAGAGAUUUGGAGGAACACCAGUGGCGAAGGCGACUUUCUGGUCUGUAACUGACACUGAGGCGCGAAAGCGUGGGGAGCAAACAGG